GACGAACGCUGGCGGCGUGCUUAACACAUGCAAGUCGAACGGAAAGGCCCUGCUUUUGUGGGGUGCUCGAGUGGCGAACGGGUGAGUAACACGUGAGUAACCUGCCCUUGACUUUGGGAUAACUUCAGGAAACUGGGGCUAAUACCGGAUAGGAGCUCCUGCUGCAUGGUGGGGGUUGGAAAGUUUCGGCGGUUGGGGAUGGACUCGCGGCUUAUCAGCUUGUUGGUGGGGUAGUGGCUUACCAAGGCUUUGACGGGUAGCCGGCCUGAGAGGGUGACCGGCCACAUUGGGACGGAGAUACGGCCCAGACUCAUACGGGAGGGAGGAGGGGGGAAUAUUGCACAAUGGGCGGAAGCAUGAUGGAGCAACGCCGGGUGCGGGAGGACGGCCUUCGGGUUGUAAACCGCUUUCGCCUGUGACGAAGCGUGAGUGACGGUAAUGGGUAAAGAAGCACCGGCUAAUUACGU
rnacentral:rRNA from 1 species